rnacentral:rRNA from 1 species
UACAGAGGUGGCAAGCGUUGUUCGGAAUUACUGGGCGUAAAGGGCGCGUAGGCGGCCUUCUAAGUCAGACGUGAAAUCCCCAGGCUUAACUUGGGAACUGCGUCUGAUACUGGGAGGCUUGAGUGCGGGAGAGGGAUGUGGAAUUCCAGGUGUAGCGGUGAAAUGCGUAGAUAUCUGGAGGAACACCGGUGGCGAAGGCGGCAUCCCGGACCGACACUGACGCUGAGGCGCGAAAGCUAGGGGAGCAAACGGG